AAAAUAAUAAGAUGUACACAUAGAUAAUUAUUAUUAAUAAAAUAAUAAUGUGUAUUCGUGUCAAUGAAAAAAUUAGCCAUGUCAAUCGUGUUCGUGUCGUGUUAUACGAAUUGUCAGACCUACUUUAUUGUUGCCUAUAGAACUCACUCAGAAAUAUCUCAAACGGUUAGGGAUGGAUGGGGAGAAGAAAAGUUCUCAAUGAAGGAUUUCCUAGUAGGGGAAAUGAUCCUCGCCGACGUGGGAGAUCUGUUCCAUCUCGUCGGAGUAGGGGAUCUGUUGGAGGGUCGUAUAACUUGCGGUUACUUUCGCGUAGGUAGGAUCGUAGGACCUGUAGGGUUCCGUCCCCUCGUCCAAAAGAUCCCUUCUCGCCAGGGUUAUAUCCUCAUCACAGAUGAUAAGCGAUCGGACUCGGAGCCGAGUCUCUCAUUCCAUUUCCAUCUUGUGCAUGGUCCUCGUCUGUAUGCACUAUCCGAUUCAGACGAUCUGAAUACAUUCAGUUCGACAAGAAAUUAGAUUCGGAUUCAUGAUGUAGUAUAAAAAAUAUGUAUUACAUUGUUGGGCCUGACGACCCGGCCCAUAAAAUUCUUGGGUCUGACGAGCUGGCCCAUUGGGUCGUACGAGCUUCCAGUCUGUUGUGUCGGGUAGCAUCAAUGAGUUUAGAUUUGCAGCACUCGACCACGUGCUCAUUAAUAGUAAUGACGUAGUACGUGGACCCCACCACCAAAAUAUUCUGUCGUUAAAACUACCAAAAGACACAAACAAACCCAUCGUAAAAGAUAAGAAAAGAAGAUGGCCGGAGCAGCAGCUCUAACCGGUGAAGAAGAAGUGAAGUUGUUAGGGUCCUGGGUGAGCCCUUACGUUCUCCGGGCGAAAAUAGCUCUCAAUCUGAAAUCCGUCACCUACGACUACGUUGAAGAAGACUUAAAGAACAAGAGUGAGCUGUUAUUAAAGUCGAACCCGAUCUACAAGAAAGUCCCGGUGCUCCUCCACGCCGGCGC
rnacentral:lncRNA from 1 species